UCUUCGAAUUCGCUUAAACAAACCGAACAAUCCGUUCCUUCCACGAUACCGUCUCUUUUGCUAUACUUGCACACUUUGAUCGAACUUAUAACCGUUGGAUUCAAACCAAUGGUUUUGAUAUGCCAAAUCGGAUGAUCGACAAUAACCGGUGAUGGUCCAUCAAAAUCCCAGUUCCUAGCUUGCUCCAUGCUCCAUCUUCUUGAUAUAGCUAUUGAUCUUCUCCUGUUGUACCACUUGAAACAGAGUAGGAGUAAAGUAAGGAGAAACAGAGUUGUGAUGAUAGACAAAGCCGAGAUGAGUAAGAACUUCUUUAGGUUAUCGUCCAGG
rnacentral:lncRNA from 1 species